rnacentral:tRNA from 1 species
AAGGGUAUAGCUCAGUGGUAGAGUGAAAGCUUAGCAUGCAUGAGGUCCUGGGUUCAAUCCUCAGUACCUCCA